AGUGAACGCUGGCGGUAGGCCUAACACAUGCAAGUCGAACGGCAGCACAGUAAGAGCUUGCUCUUACGGGUGGCGAGUGGCGGACGGGUGAGGAAUACAUCGGAAUCUACUUUUUCGUGGGGGAUAACGUAGGGAAACUUACGCUAAUACCGCAUACGACCUACGGGUGAAAGCAGGGGAUCUUCGGACCUUGCGCGAUUGAAUGAGCCGAUGUCGGAUUAGCUAGUUGGCGGGGUAAAGGCCCACCAAGGCGACGAUCCGUAGCUGGUCUGAGAGGAUGAUCAGCCACACUGGGACUGAGACACGGUCCAGACUCCUACGGGCGGCAGCAGUGGGGAAUAUUGGACAAUGGGCGCAAGCCUGAUCCAGCCUUAGCGCGUGGGUGAAGAAGGCCUUCGGGUUGUAAAGCCCUUUUGUUGGGAAAGAAAAGCAGCAGGUUAAUACCCCGCUGUUCUGACGGUACCCAAAGAAUAAGUACCGGCUAACUUCGUG
rnacentral:rRNA from 1 species